ensembl:lncRNA LINC00313 long intergenic non-protein coding RNA 313
GUGGCUCUGACGAUGAUGGUGAGGUGGUGGAGACGCCCUCACAGCUGGGCCACCCUCCCGUCGGGAGACACGUUUUGUCAGUUGCUUCCUCUGGAGUCCUUGGAAGGAAAUGACCGCAGAAGGGAGUGCACCGUGGGGGCAGGAGGUGCUGCGGCCAAUGGGCAGUGCUGGGAGAUGAAACCAACAGCGGCGAUUGCCCCAGAAAGAACUUGGCGCUGCUAAGGCAAUGGCGGCCCGAAAGAGGCCCCUGACGCAUGAGGAGCGGCCGC